GACGAACGCUGGCGGCGUGCUUAACACAUGCAAGUGGAGCGACGAACCGGGCUUCGGCCCGGGGCAAAGCCGCGAACGGGUGAGUAUCACGUGGGUAACCUGCCCCGAUGACCGGGACAACCCGAGGAAACUCGGGCUAAUACCGGAUGAGCUCCUACCACUUCAGUGGAAGGAGGAAAGGAAGCUUCGGCCUCCGCAUCGGGAUGGGCCCGCGGCCCAUUAGCUUGUUGGUGAGGUAAAGGCUCACCAAGGCGACGAUGGGUAGCUGGUCUGAGAGGACGAUCAGCCACACUGGGACUGAGACACGGCCCAGACUCCUACGGGAGGCAGCAGUGGGGAAUCUUGCGCAAUGCGCGAAAGCGUGACGCAGCAACGCCGCGUGAGGGAAGAAGGCCUUCGGGUUGUAAACCUCUUUCAGGAGGGACGAAGGUUCAGGCGCGAAUAGCGUCCUGGACUGACGGUACCUCCAGAAGAAGCCCCGGCUAACUACGUGCCAGCCGCCGCCGUAACAC
rnacentral:rRNA from 1 species